rnacentral:sRNA from 1 species
UAUCUGUGUCUGAAGCAGGAGGCUUGAGAUGAUUUUUAUGGACAUACCAAGAAAUAACUGCAUUCAGAAACAGGUCUCUGUUCUAGGAUGUCCCGACCCAGUGGUACAUGAGAUCGCCUAUCAGUACGGAAAAAAUGUAGGAAUAGCUUUUCAGCUAAUAGAUGAUGUAUUGGACUUCACCUCAUGUUCUGACCAGAUGGGCAAACCAACAUCAGCUGAUCUGAAGCUCGGGUUAGCCACUGGUCCUGUCCUGUUUGCCUGUCAGCAGUUCCCAGAAAUGAAUGCUAUGAUCAUGCGACGGUUCAGUUUGCCGGGAGAUGUAGACAGAGCUCGACAGUAUGUAUUACAGAGUGAUGGUGUGCAACAAACAACCUACCUCGCCCAGCAGUACUGCCAUGAAGCAAUAAGACAGAUCAGUAAACUUCGACCAUCCCCAGAAAGAGAUGCCCUCAUUCAGCUUUCAGAAACUGUACUCACAAGAGAUAAAUGACAACUCUUUCUGUUCUUUCUGGCAGCUAUCUUACCAGACUGUGCCUAAAGAAUUUUGUGGAAUACACUUUGUUUGCUUCAUGUGCAGAUAACCAAAAAUCAUUUUAAAAGAUAUCAAACUUAUUGAUGGGCAAUUUAUUUUUUUUAUUGCAAAAGUUUUUUCAGAAAACUUUUUAAAUGUAAUUAAACCAUCUAGUCCUAUAAAUUCUAGUCCUAUAAAUUAUAAUCAAGGUAUCUUGAUGGUUAUAUGUGGUAUUGUUUACACUGUUAAUAUCCACAUGUAAGGCCAUUACACAAAUAAAUAACC